GACGUGCUUGCACUGAAUGAGAUUUUAACACGAAGUGAGUGGCGGACGGGUGAGUAACACGUGGGUAACCUGCCCAGAAGCAGGGGAUAACACCUGGAAACAGAUGCUAAUACCGUAUAACAGAGAAAACCGCCUGGUUUUCUUUUAAAAGAUGGCUCUGCUAUCACUUCUGGAUGGACCCGCGGCGCAUUAGCUAGUUGGUGAGGUAACGGCUCACCAAGGCGAUGAUGCGUAGCCGACCUGAGAGGGUAAUCGGCCACAUUGGGACUGAGACACGGCCCAGACUCCUACGGGAGGCAGCAGUAGGGAAUCUUCCACAAUGGACGCAAGUCUGAUGGAGCAACGCCGCGUGAGUGAAGAAGGGUUUCGGCUCGUAAAGCUCUGUUGUUAAAGAAGAACGUGGGUGAGAGUAACUGUUCACCCAGUGACGGUAUUUAACCAGAAAGCCACGGCUAACUACGUGCCAGCAGCCGCGGUAAUACGUAGGUGGCAAGCGUUAUCCGGAUUUAUUGGGCGUAAAGCGAGCGCAGGCGGUCUUUUAAGUCUAAUGUGAAAGCCUUCGGCUCAACCGAAGAAGUGCAUUGGAAACUGGGAGACUUGAGUGCAGAAGAGGACAGUGGAACUCCAUGUGUAGCGGUGAAAUGCGUAGAUAUAUGGAAGAACACCAGUGGCGAAGGCGGCUGUCUGGUCUGUAACUGACGCUGAGGCUCGAAAGCAUGGGUAGCGAACAGGAUUAGAUACCCUGGUAGUCCAUGCCGUAAACGAUGAUUACUAAGUGUUGGAGGGUUUCCGCCCUUCAGUGCUGCAGCUAACGCAUUAAGUAAUCCGCCUGGGGAGUACGACCGCAAGGUUGAAACUCAAAAGAAUUGACGGGGGCCCGCACAAGCGGUGGAGCAUGUGGUUUAAUUCGAAGCUACGCGAAGAACCUUACCAGGUCUUGACAUCUUCUGCCAACCUAAGAGAUUAGGCGUUCCCUUCGGGGACAGAAUGACAGGUGGUGCAUGGUUGUCGUCAGCUCGGGUCGUGAGAUGUUGGGUUAAGUCCCGCAACGAGCGCAACCCUUAUUACUAGUUGCCAGCAUUCAGUUGGGCACUCUAGUGAGACUGCCGGUGACAAACCGGAGGAAGGUGGGGACGACGUCAAAUCAUCAUGCCCCUUAUGACCUGGGCUACACACGUGCUACAAUGGAUGGUACAACGAGUCGCGAAACCGCGAGGUUUAGCUAAUCUCUUAAAACCAUUCUCAGUUCGGACUGUAGGCUGCAACUCGCCUACACGAAGUCGGAAUCGCUAGUAAUCGCGGAUCAGCAUGCCGCGGUGAAUACGUUCCCGGGCCUUGUACACACCGCCCGUCACACCAUGAGAGU
rnacentral:rRNA from 1 species